GGAAUAUUGCGCAAUGGAGGAAACUCUGACGCAGUGACGCCGCGUAUAGGAUGAAGGUUUUCGGAUUGUAAACUAUUGUCGUUAGGGAAGAUAAAAGACAGUACCUAAGGAGGAAGCUCCGGCUAACUACGUGCCAGCAGCCGCGGUAAUACGUAGGGAGCAAGCGUUAUCCGGAUUUAUUGGGUGUAAAGGGUGCGUAGACGGGAAAUUAAGUUAGUUGUGAAAUCCCUCGGCUUAACUGAGGAACUGCAACUAAAACUGGUUUUCUUGAGUGCGGGAGAGGAAAGUGGAAUUCCUAGUGUAGCGGUGAAAUGCGUAGAUAUUAGGAGGAACACCAGUGGCGAAGGCGACUUUCUGGACCGUAACUGACGUUGAGGCACGAAAGUGUGGGGAGCAAACA
rnacentral:rRNA from 1 species